rnacentral:rRNA from 1 species
UACGUAGGGCGCAAGCGUAUCCGGAAUUAUUGGGCGUAAAGAGCUCGUAGGCGGUUUGUCGCGUCUGCCCGUGAAAGUCCGGGGCUCAACUCCGGAUCUGCGGUGGGUACGGGCAGACUAGAGUGAUGUAGGGGAGACUGGAAUUCCUGGUGUAGCGGUGAAAUGCGCAGAUAUCAGGAGGAACACCGGCGGCGAAGGCGCUUCCUGGCCCAUUACUGACGUUCAGGUACGAAAGCGUGGGUAGCAAACAGG